UACGGAGGGGGCUAGCGUUGUUCGGAAUUACUGGGCGUAAAGCGCGCGUAGGCGGAUCUGCAAGUCGGGGGUGAAAUCCCGAGGCUCAACCUCGGAACUGCCUUCGAUACUGCGGGUCUCGAGUCCGGGAGAGGUGAGUGGAAUUCCUGGUGUAGCGGUGAAAUGCGCAGAUAUCAGGAAGAACACCCGUGGCUAAGGCGGCUCUCUAGUACGGUACUGACGCUGAGACGCGAAAGCGUGGGGAGCGAACAGG
rnacentral:rRNA from 1 species